rnacentral:rRNA from 1 species
AUACGUACUGCGCAAACGUUAUUCGGAAUCACUGGGCUUACAGGGUGCGUAGGCGGUUCGCCAGGUCAGAUGUGAAAUCCCACAGCUCAACUGUGGAACUGCAUUUGAAACCUGCGAACUUGAGUAGACUAGAGGUACACGGAACUUCAGGUGGAGCGGUGAAAUGUGUUGAGAUCUGAAGGAACACCAGAGGCGAAAGCGGUGUACUGGAGUCUGUCUGACGCUGAGGCACGAAAGCUAGGGGAGCGAACGGGAUUAGAUACCCUUGUAGUCC